AUACGUAGGUCCCGAACGUUGCGCGAAAUUACUGGGCGUAAAGGGUCCGUAGGCGGUCUGGUAAGUGGAAGGUGAAAGCCUGGGGCUCAACUCCAGAAUUGCCUUCCAAACUGCCGGACUUGAGGCAGGGAGAGGUCGGCGGAAUUCCCGGUGUAGUGGUGAAAUGCGUAGAUAUCGGGAGGAACACCAGUGGCGAAGGCGGCCGACUGGAACUGUCCUGACGCUGAGGGACGAAAGCCAGGGGAGCGAACCGGAUUAGAAACCCCAGUAGUCC
rnacentral:rRNA from 1 species